CAGCCUCGGAGCUCCGCUCCCAGGCUGAACCCUGCACCUGCUCUAUCACCUGCACCAUCUCCCUCCUCUCUUCUGGACCUCAUACUUUCUUACUUUCCUAUGCCUGUAAAUGGUUUGCUGUGACCAGGGAAGAAGAAGGAAACACAUUGAAGUCCUUGUCCUGCAAGGCCUGAGUCUGGAAAACUGUCUCAGCAAAGCAAGAGCCAGUGAAGGGACACAUUGCAAAGAGCAGGAAGUCUUCCGUCAUGAUCCACAGUCUCUGUUGGGUUGCAGUAGUCAUCGUGAUGCUCAUAAACUGAGAAAAAAUAUAUAUGUCUUUUUCACUUAAUUGGCAAAUAUUACACAAGUAUAUAAAUUUCACUUUUUACAGCUAAGGGCUGCAUAGCCAUAACUUCUGAGCAAUUUAUUAAGGUUGAAUAAAAUUGAUAUAAGGAAUCAUUUUAUAAAAUAAAA
rnacentral:lncRNA from 1 species